rnacentral:rRNA from 1 species
CAGUUCGGCCAUCCUACGGCGGAAACUCCUUAACUCGUUCCGAAUUAAGAAUUAAGAAGAGAAGCGCCGUCAGGCCCCGCCAGUACUGCGAUCGGAGACGUCGUGGGAACACGGGGUGCCGAACUUU